AACGCGAAGAACCUUACCCGGCCUUGACAUCUACGGAAUCCUGCAGAGAUGUGGGAGUGCCUUCGGGAACCGUAAGACAGGUGCUGCAUGGCUGUCGUCAGCUCGUGUCGUGAGAUGUUGGGUUAAGUCCCGCAACGAGCGCAACCCUUGUCCUUAGUUGCCAUCAUUAAGUUGGGAACUCUAAGGAGACCGCCGGUGACAAACCGGAGGAAGGUGGGGAUGACGUCAAGUCAUCAUGGCCUUUAUGGCCGGGGCUACACACGUGCUACAAUGGCAGGUACAGAGGGAAGCCAACGCGCGAGCGGGAGCCAAUCCCAGAAAGCCUGUCGUAGUCCGGAUCGGAGUCUGCAACUCGACUCUGUGAAGUCGGAAUCGCUAGUAAUCGCAGAUCAGCAUUGCUGCGGUGAAUACGUUCCCGGGCCUUGUACACACCGCUCGCGA
rnacentral:rRNA from 1 species